UCCUUCCCAACAUGGGCACCAUGCCUUC
rnacentral:piRNA from 1 species